AGAGUUUGAUCAUGGCUCAGGACGAACGCUGGCGGCGUGCUUAACACAUGCAAGUCGAACGGAAAGGCUCUUAGCUUGCUAAGAGUACUCGAGUGGCGAACGGGUGAGUAAUACGUGAGUAACCUGCCCCCUUCUCUGGGAUAAGCCUUGGAAACGAGGUCUAAUACUGGAUAUUCUGCUUUUACCGCAUGGUAAUUGUUGGAAAGGAUUCUGGUGGGGGAUGGGCUCACGGCCUAUCAGCUAGUUGGUGGGGUGAUGGCCUACCAAGGCAGCGACGGGUAGCCGGCCUGAGAGGGUGACCGGCCACAUUGGGACUGAGAUACGGCCCAGACUCCUACGGGAGGCAGCAGUGGGGAAUAUUGCACAAUGGACGCAAGUCUGAUGCAGCGACGCCGCGUGGG
rnacentral:rRNA from 1 species